rnacentral:tRNA from 1 species
GAGGAUGUGGCUCAGUGGUAGAGCACUUAUCUAGAAUGCAUGAGUUCUGGGUUCUAUUCCCAGCACCGCA